CCCUUAGAUGUCCUGGGCCGCACGCGCGCUACACUGACAUGUUCAACAAGCCUCCUAGUUCGACAGGAUUUGGGAAAUCUUUGAACGCAUGUCGUGAUAGGGAUAGAUCAUUGCAAUUAUUGAUCUUGAACGAGGAAUUCCUAGUAAACGCGAGUCAUCAGCUCGCAUUGAUUACGUCCCUGCCCUUUGUACCCACCGCCCGUCGCACCUACCGAUUGAAUGUUUCGGUGAAGAUUCCGGAUAGGACUUUUUUGAUUUAUUUCAAUUUUGUCUUAAAAGCUAUCUAAACCUCAACAUUUAGAGGAAGGUGAAGUCGUAACA
rnacentral:rRNA from 1 species